GAUGAACGCUGGCGGCGUGCUUAACACAUGCAAGUUGAACGAAGUGGCGGAUGGGCGAGUAACACGUGAGGAACCUGCCUUUCACAGGGGAAUAACACUGGGAAACCAGUGCUAAUACCGCAUAGUGAAAGAUGGCCUCUAGCCUGAUUGGCUAGUAGGUGAGGUAACGGCUCACCUAGGUGAUGAUCAGUAGCCGGACUGAAGGUUGCUCUGCCGCAUUGGGACUGUGACACGGCCCAGACUCCUACGGGAGGCAGCAGUGGGGAAUAUUGGGCAAUGGCGCAAGCCUGACCCAGCAACGCCGCGUGAGGUAAGACGGUCUUCGGAUUGUAAACCUCUUUCCAUCGAACAGGGUAGGUGGAGAAGAAGCGCCGGCUAACUACGUGCCAGCAGCCGCGGUAAUUC
rnacentral:rRNA from 1 species